GCGAAAAAUUCAGAGAAGAAGGAAAUCGCAAAGUUCGGGUCGAGAUCCGGCGAGCCUCGUCGGGUUUCGCCCAUCUGAUUUGGAAUAGUUAAUUCGGAACCCCGAACCAACGGUCUUUCCCUUCUCGUCUCUUGUCUUCUCUUCUCGUUGAGUUCGCAAAAUGAAGGCGUCGGGUACACUGGUGGCGUCGGUGGUUGCGGCGUCCACCAUGGCUCUUACGACGUCGUCUUCGUCCAACCAGGGGGUUUCUUCUGCGGCGGUGAAGAACGGUGCGCAAAACUGUCAAACGGCGUCGGAUAAGGAGAAAUUCGAGCCGAGAUUCGACGGGUUGAGGUUCAUUGAGACGUUGGUGACAGCGCAUAGAUGAUUGUUGGCGCGGAGCUCUUAAUUAAUUGUAAGCCCGUGAUUAGAGUUCAAUCAGAGACAAAUUUCUUUCCUUUUUCUUCUUUCUUCUUCUCCAAAGUUUAAGACUUUUUGUUGUUGUGGUUUUUGUUAAUUGGGUCAUUCUCAGUUUGGUGUUUAUGUUCUCAAUCACGUAAUUACCAUUUAAUCUCGUAAUUAUAAAGCGAGAAGGUUUCGUCUUUUCCUUAAAAAUCUGGUCAUAGGAAUCUUCGUGAUUCCAGUACAUGUCGCAAGGUCUGGCCUGUGUUUGUAUUUCAUUGUAAAUUGUCGGUAGCAAAUUGGUUUGCUUUGCGGACUAAAUUAUUUGGAAUUGUAUAAAACACAUUUU